AGGGUGCUGUGGUCCGAGCUAGAGGGUGAAGCUGGCGGAGCAGGAGGAUGGGCGAGCAGUCUGAAUGCCAGAAUGGAUAACCGUUUUGCUACAGCAUUUGUAAUUGCUUGUGUGCUUAGCCUCAUUUCCACCAUCUACAUGGCAGCCUCCAUUGGCACAGACUUCUGGUAUGAAUAUCGAAGUCCAGUUCAAGAAAAUUCCAGUGAUUUGAAUAAAAGCAUCUGGGAUGAAUUCAUUAGUGAUGAGGCAGAUGAAAAGACUUAUAAUGAUGCACUUUUUCGAUACAAUGGUACAGUGGGAUUGUGGAGACGGUGUAUCACCAUACCCAAAAACAUGCAUUGGUAUAGCCCACCAGAAAGGACAGGUAUUUCUCUUAUUUUAACUUCUCUCUUCUUUACCUGGUUAAUAAUAGACAAAACGACCUAAUGAUUGCCCAAUUACAUGCAAGCAGGUUUGUUGGUUCUCUCUCUCCUUAAAUAAGUAAAUCAUGUGUAUCUUCUCUUUCUACCGCCUUCUCUUCCCAGCUUCUUUGCAUUACCAUGGUACUCAUCAGUAUUGGCUGGAUGAGGAACUUUUCUUAUCUUUGGAAAGCCAUUAAAAUUUUUUUUCUUAUUUACUCACUCAUUAAAAUACUUUUCGUUAUUCUAACACAUGUCAUAAAGAAAUAGUUGGAAAAGUAAAUCGAAAGACUUUUAAAAAUAUUUGGUAACUAGUAAAAGGACUACCAUCAAAAAUCAACUCAACAAAUUGUCCUUUUAUGGGUUAGCUGUAUUAUGA
rnacentral:sRNA from 1 species